rnacentral:lncRNA from 1 species
CUGGGCCUGGCCUGGCUAUCCCCAUUCUUCACCAUCCGGCCCCCCUCCACGGGUGUGGGUGCAGCCCGUGGUUGGCACUGGCUCCACCCCUUAGUAAUCGCUCUGAUUGGAAAGAGGUGUAAACUAUGCAAAAAAAAGACCAUUAUAUGAAUAAAAAUUUUAUAAAUGAAACUGUGGCAGUUUUAUGUUCAUUUUCAAUUUUACUUCAGAGCCACAUGUACGUACCCAAAGAGCGGCAUGUGGCUCACGAGCCGCAGUUUGCCGAUCCUUGGUAUAGUGUAUACCCUGAAGCAUUUGUGGUUGGAUUGGGGCUUUGCUUUUCUUUACCAUGUGGUACAUAGUAUUGAGUCUAUUAUAUGAUGAUGUGAGGUUUUACUUUCCAAGCACUUUUCUAAGUGGUUGCUUUGGAAUCGAAUAUGAGAUGGGUGUUAGGUGUGUCUGGG